AAACGACUCUCGGCAACGGAUAUCUCGGCUCUCGCAUCGAUGAAGAACGUAGCGAAAUGCGAUACUUGGUGUGAAUUGCAGAAUCCCGUGAACCAUCGAGUCUUUGAACGCAAGUUGCGCCCCAAGCCGUCAGGCCGAGGGCACGUCUGCCUGG
rnacentral:rRNA from 9 species